AUACGUAGGUGGCAAGCGUUGUCCGGAAUUAUUGGGCGUAAAGCGCGCGCAGGCGGUUUCUUAAGUCUGAUGUGAAAGCCCACGGCUUAACCGUGGAGGGUCAUUGGAAACUGGGAGACUUGAGUGCAGAAGAGGAAAGUGGAAUUCCAAGUGUAGCGGUGAAAUGCGUAGAGAUUUGGAGGAACACCAGUGGCGAAGGCGACUUUCUGGUCUGCAACUGACGCUGAGGCGCGAAAGCAUGGGGAGCAAACAGGAUUAGAUACCCUGGUAGUCCAUGCCGUAAACGAUGAGUGCUAAGUGUUAGGGGGUUUCCGCCCCUUAGUGCUGCAGCUAACGCAUUAAGCACUCCGCCUGGGGAGUACGACCGCAAGGUUGAA
rnacentral:rRNA from 1 species